AGAACGAACGCUGGCGGCGUGCUUAACACAUGCAAGUGGAGCGACGAACCAGGCUUCGGCCUGGGGCAAAGCCGCGAACGGGUGAGUAACACGUGGGUAACCUGCCCCGAUGAUUGGGACAACCCGAGGAAACUCGGGCUAAUACCGAAUGUGCCCUCCGGCCAUAAGGCCGCUGGGGAAAGGAAGCUUCGGCCUCCGCAUCGGGAUGGGCCCGCGGCCCAUUAGCUUGUUGGUGAGGUAAAGGCUCACCAAGGCAACGAUGGGUAGCUGGUCUGAGAGGACGAUCAGCCACACUGGGACUGAGACACGGCCCAGACUCCUACGGGAGGCAGCAGUGGGGAAUCUUGCGCAAUGCGCGAAAGCGUGACGCAGCAACGCCGCGUGGGGGAAGAAGGCCUUCGGGUUGUAAACCCCUUUCAGUUGGGACGAAGGUUCGCUCGUUAAUAGCGGGUUGGACGUGACGGUACCUUCAGAAGAAGCCCCGGCUAACUACGUGCCAGCAGCCGC
rnacentral:rRNA from 1 species